rnacentral:rRNA from 1 species
UACGUAGGGUGCGAGCGUUGUCCGGAUUUAUUGGGCUUAAAGGGUGCGUAGGCGGCCUGCUAAGUCCGGGGUGAAAGCCCGUUGCUCAACAACGGAACUGCCCUGGAUACUGGCGGGCUUGAGUCCAGGCGAGGUUGGCGGAAUGGACGGAGUAGCGGUGAAAUGCAUAGAUACCGUGCAGAACCCCGAUUGCGCAGGCAGCUGACUAGGUUGGUACUGACGCUGAGGCACGACAGCGUGGGGAGCGAACAGG